AUUGAACGCUGGCGGCAGGCCUAAAACAUGCAAGUCGAACGAGUGGCGGACGGGUGAGUAAUGUCUGGGAAACUGCCCGAUGGAGGGGGAUAACUAAUGGAAACGGUAGCUAAUACAGCAUACCAUCGGAUGUGCCCAGAUGGGAUUGGCUAGUAGGUGGGGUAACGGAUCCCCUAGGCGACGAUCCCUAGCUGGUGUGAGAGGAUGACCAGCCAACCUGGAACUGAGACACGGUCCAGCCUCCCACGGUAGGCAGCAGUGGGGAAUGUUGCACAAGUGGCGCAAGCCUGAUGCAGCUAGGCCGCGUGGAUGAAGAAUGCCUUCGGGUUGUAAAGUACUUUCAGCGAGGAGGCGUUACUCGCAGAAGAAGCACCGGCUAACUCCGUGCCAGCAGCCGCGGUAAUA
rnacentral:rRNA from 1 species